rnacentral:snRNA from 1 species
AUACUUACCCGGAAAGGGAGAUAUCGUGUUCAUAAAGGUGGUUUUCUCAGGAUGAGGCUUAUCCAUUGCACUUCAGAUGUGUUCAGAUGUAACCCUUGCAAUUUCCCCAAAUGUGGGAAAUUCGACUGCAUAAUUUUUGGUGAUGGAGGACUGCAUUCAUGCUUUCCCCUA